rnacentral:rRNA from 1 species
AUUGCCCUAGUAACGGCGAGUGAAGCGGCAACAGCUCAAAUUUGAAAUCUGGCUUCCUUUGGGGGUCCGAGUUGUAAUUUGCAGAGGGUGCUUUGGCGUCGGCAGCGGUCUAAGUUCCUUGGAACAGGACAUCACAGAGGGUGAGAAUCCCGUACGUGGUCGCCUGCCUUCGCCGUGUAAAGCCCCUUCGACGAGUCGAGUUGUUUGGGAAUGCAGCUCUAAAUGGGAGGUAAAUUUCUUCUAAAGCUAAAUACCGGCCAGAGACCGAUAGCGCACAAGUAGAGUGAUCGAAAGAUGAAAAGCACUUUGGAAAGAGAGUCAAACAGCACGUGAAAUUGUUGAAAGGGAAGCGCUUGCAGCCAGACUUGCUCGCAGUUGCUCAUCCGGGUCCGCCCGGAGCACUCUUCUGCGAGCAGGCCAGCAUCAGUUUGGGCGACCGGAUAAAGGCCUCUGUCAUGUAUCUUCCUUCGGGAUGACCUUAUAGGGGAGGCGUAAUGCGGCCAGCCCGGACUGAGGUCCGCGCAUCUGCUAGGAUGCUGGCGUAAUGGCUGUAAGCGGCCCGUCUUGAAACACGGAUCAAGGAGUCUAACAUCUAUGCGAGUGUUUGGGUGUCAAGCCCGGGCGCGUAAUGAAAGUGAACGGAGGUGGGAACCCUCUUCGGGGGGUGCACCAUCGACCGAUCCUGAUGUCUUCGGAUGGAUUUGAGUAAGAGCAUAGCUGUUGGGACCCGAAAGAUGGUGAACUAUGCUUGAAUAGGGUGAAGCCAGAGGAAACUCUGGUGGAGGCUCGCAGCGGUUCUGACGUGCAAAUCGAUCGUCAAAUUUGGGCAUAGGGGCGAAAGACUAAU